rnacentral:rRNA from 1 species
GUAGCAAUACGUUUGUAAAGCGGCGAACGGGUGAGGAAUACAUGGGUAACCUACCCUAGAGUGGGGAAUAACUGGCCGAAAGGUUAGCUAAUACCGCGUACGCUCCUUGGACUUCGGUUCAGGGAGGAAAGCGAUGCCGAGGGUAUCGCGCUCUUGGAUGGGCUCAUGUCCUAUCAGCUUGUUGGUGAGGUAACGGCUCACCAAGGCUUCGACGGGUAGCUGGUCUGAGAGGACGAUCAGCCACACUGGCACUGCGACACGGGCCAGACUCCUACGGGAGGCAGCAGUAAGGAAUAUUGCGCAAUGGGCGAAAGCCUGACGCAGCGACGCCGCGUGGGGGAUGAAGGUCUUCGGAUUGUAAACCCCUUUCGGGAGGGAAGAUGGAAUGGGGUAACCCAUUCGGACGGUACCUCCAGAAGCAGCCACGGCUAACUUCGUGCCAGCAGCCGCGGUAAUACGAAGGUGGCAAGCGUUAUUCGGAUUUACUGGGCGUACAGGGAGCGUAGGCGGUUCGGUAAGCCCUCUGUGAAAUCUUCAGGCUUAACCUGGAAAAGUCGGGGGGGACUGCUGGGCUAGAGGACGGGAGAGGAGCGCGGAAUUCCCGGUGUAGCGGUGAAAUGCGUAGAGAUCGGGAGGAAGGCCGGUGGCGAAGGCGGCUUCCUGGACUAAAACUGACACUGAGGCACGAAAGCGUGGGUAGCAAACAGGAUUAGAUACCCUGGUAGUCCACGCCCUAAACGAUG